UCAAACUGUUGGCAAGUUCAGUUUCUUCUAAGGGCCCUCUCUUGGCUUAUAGGUGGCUGUCUUCCCCCGUGUCCUCACAUGGUCUUUCCACCACAUCCCAAUCUCUCCGAAGAAGGACACCAGUCAUACUGGAUUUGUUUCUACCUGAAUGAUCUCAUUUUAACUCAGUUACCUCUUUGAAGAGCCAUCUCCAAAUGCAAGCGCAUUCUAAUAUACUGGCGAUUGGGACUUCAACAUAUGAACUUGGAGUAGGCCCAGAACAAGCUACUACAGGGCGAGAACUUGCCCUGCCACACAAGAUGCGACAGGUUGUGGAUGUCGCAUCUGUCUCACCGAGAGAGACAGGUUCAAACAUACAAGAAGGAAAGGAUGGUGCUUUAUUCCUCAUAGAGUGCGACCAGAAACUACUGCUGUCCUGAACUCCAGGUAGUCCCCAUAGAAUUUCUACCACCGAUUUGUAUAAAAAGUGUGCUAUCUACCAUAUCUAAUCUAGACUUAAAAGAUGAUUUCUGUAUCAAAUGAAAGUGAACAAGAGCAUCUGUUUGCUUCAUCAUAUAUAAAGCAUCUAGACAUCUGCACUAUAUUGUCUUAAACAUCUAUAUAAACUGAAAAAAUAAAAAAGCGUGAAUGAAAUAUUAAAA